rnacentral:rRNA from 1 species
CAUCCUCCAAGGCUAAAUACUCCUGACUGACCGAUAGUGAACCAGUACCGUGAGGGAAAGGCGAAAAGAACCCCGGCGAGGGGAGUGAAAAAGAACCUGAAACCGUGUACGUACAAGCAGUGGGAGCACCCUUCGGGGUGUGACUGCGUACCUUUUGUAUAAUGGGUCAGCGACUUAUAUUCUGUAGCAAGGUUAACCGUAUAGGGGAGCCGGAGGGAAACCGAGUCUUAACCGGGCGUUAAGUUGCAGGGUAUAGACCCGAAACCCGGUGAUCUAGCCAUGGGCAGGUUGAAGGUUGGGUAACACUAACUGGAGGACCGAACCGACUAAUGUUGAAAAAUUAGCGGAUGACCUGUGGCUGGGGGUGAAAGGCCAAUCAAACCGGGAGAUAGCUGGUUCUCCCCGAAAGCUAUUUAGGUAGCGCCUCGUGAAUUCAUCUCCGGGGGUAGAGCACUGUUUCGGCUAGGGGGCCAUCCCGGCUUACCAACCCGAUGCAAACUGCGAAUACCGGAGAAUGUUAUCACGGGAGACACACGGCGGGUGCUAACGUCCGUCGUGAAGAGGGAAACAACCCAGACCGCCAGCUAAGGUCCCAAAGUCAUGGUUAAGUGGGAAACGAUGUGGGAAGGCCCAGACAGCCAGGAUGUUGGCUUAGAAGCAGCCAUCAUUUAAAGAAAGCGUAAUAGCUCACUGGUCGAGUCGGCCUGCGCGGAAGAUGUAACGGGGCUAAACCAU